rnacentral:rRNA from 1 species
UACGUAGGGGGCAAGCGUUGUCCGGAUUUACUGGGCGUAAAGAGCGUGUAGGCGGCCAAGCAGGUCCGUUGUGAAAACUGGAGCUUAACCUCCAGACGUCGACGGAAACCGCGUGGCUAGAGUCCGGAAGAGGAGAGUGGAAUUCCUGGUGUAGCGGUGGAAAUGCGCAGAUAUCAGGAAGAACACCAAUGGCGAAGGCGGCUCUGG